UGGGUGACUCACAAAGGCUCUUUUCACUGACGUGACCUCAUCAGAUCCUCUCAACAAUAGCAGGGUGGUGGCAUCAGGGCUCCCUUUCUAUGGAUGAGCCUGGAGUUCACAGAGGCUAAGUAAGCAGCCCAAGGUCACCCAGUAUGUUGGCAGCGGAGUCAAAUUCCACUGUCUUUCCACCAUGAAACAUAAAGGCUCCGGAGGAGGUAAGAGCCAGAUCUUGUUAUUGAUGCUUCAAGGUGAAGGAGUGCAUUGAAGUCCCCAAGGAAAUUGGCUGGGAGCAGGUGCUUCGAGCUCCUGAGCCAGAGAAGCCCUGAGACAGGCAUGGGCGGAGGACACUUCACUGUGGACACUCUACCUCACUGGCCUCCAUUUUCUUCCAUUUCAUCAACUCCCCUAACUUUUCCUCCUGAGAAAGCUACAGCCUCUGGGAUAUGGAUGCCCUUCAUUUCCGGAUACCCUACAUGCUCUGGCUCCCCUCCUUCCUCACUCAGGGGCUGUAUUCUAGUGUGCUUCCCCCCUCCCCGCCCCCCCAGCUCAUUCUUUUAAAAAACUAUGACCAAAUAAACAUAGUUAAAUUUGCCUCUGA